CGGGACUCGCCAGCGAGGGAUGCCGCCGGCCGCCGGGGGCCUUCUCCAGGACCAGGAGAGAAAUCCUCUCUCCGCUUCACGACGCGGCCACUCCCACCCCUGAGACGCCCACCUGGCGGACUCUGAGGGAGGAUUCGGCUGCGUCUAAUACCACCUCCACCCCUCAUCCCUCACAAUGCGCGGAAAACCACAGGCGGCUGUGCGCGCAGCGUCGGCUCAGCCACCGCAGCUCCUCCCCUGGGAUGAAAAAGCACUCUGACGUCUUGAAAGCUGGCAGCUCUCUGUUUGGAAAAUCUCUGCCCAGUGAAAAAAUGUACCGACAAGAUUACUAAGUAACACAGUCUUCUGGGAAUGCCUUAUCAAUGCCAGCUAUUUGAAGAGCACCCAAAGUCAAACUAGUGCUCCGCGCUGGCAGUCUGGAAAAGGCAGAUAAACCAAAAAGGAUGGAGUUCAGAGACCUUCCAUGUUGAUGAACAAGAACACAUUCACCUGCUGUAGGGGUAGGUGUACCCCAAAACUCCACUGAUACAGAAGCUUCUAUACUCAAGACCCUUCUAUACUCAAGACCCUGGAUCUUACCCUAUAUAUCUCUUCAUCUGGCUAUUUAUUUGCAUCUUUUAAUAUAUCCUUUGUAAUAAACUAGUAAUCUAGAAAGCAAACUUUUCCUAGCUCUGUAGGCCAUUCUAGUAAAUGAUUAAACCUGAGGAGGAGUUAUGGGAACCUUUGAUUUGUAGACAAGUUGGACAAAAGUGGUAUAUAUCCUAAUAUAACAUGGGAACCUGCCACUUAUGAUUGGCGUGUGAAAUUGGGGGAUGGGGAAGCAGUCUUGUGGGACUGAGCCCUUAGCCUGUGGGGUCUAAUGCUAUCUUCAGGUAAUAUCAGAACUGAGUUAAAUUAUAGGAUACCAGUCAGUGUCCAUUGGAGAACUGAAUUAUUGUGAGGAGAAACCCACACAUUUGGUGGCUAAAAGUAUUGAUGUGAGUAGUAGCAUAUAGGAGUUUUUUGCUAUAUACAUAUGUAGUGUAAGUUUAAAGUAAAAAGUUUUGUAUUGUCAGGAGUGACUUCUUUGCACCUAAAUAUCACUGCUAUAACUGCGUUACUAAGGAAUAGUUGCUUGCUUUUAUGUAUUUGGCACCUGCAGCUACUGUUCUAAAAAGUUUGCAUGUGUUAACCUAUUAAUUAAAUCUACAAAUGACUGGCUGUACCCAUGAAGUGAGUUAUUCUAAAGACAAUGGAACAUUUAAAUGGUUUAGAAAUUUUUUGAUUAAAAAUACAUUAAUAAUAUCUCCUAAAGAA
rnacentral:lncRNA from 10 species